rnacentral:rRNA from 1 species
GUGAACGCUGGCGGUAGGCCUAACCCCUGCAAGUCGAACGGCAGCACAGUAAGAGCUUGCUCUUACGGGUGGCGAGUGGCGGACGGGUGAGGAAUACAUCGGAAUCUACUUUUUCGUGGGGGAUAACGUAGGGAAACUUACGCUAAUACCGCAUACGACCUACGGGUGAAAGCAGGGGAUCUUCGGACCUUGCGCGAUUGAAUGAGCCGAUGUCGGAUUAGCUAGUUGGCGGGGUAAAGGCCCACCAAGGCGACGAUCCGUAGCUGGUCUGAGAGGAUGAUCAGCCACACUGGAACUGAGACACGGUCCAGACUCCUACGGGAGGCAGCAGUGGGGAAUAUUGGACAAUGGGCGCAAGCCUGAUCCAGCCAUACCGCGUGGGUGAAGAAGGCCUUCGGGUUGUAAAGCCCUUUUGUUGGGAAAGAAAAGCAGCAGGUUAAUACCCCGCUGUUCUGACGGUACCCAAAGAAUAAGCACCGGCUAACUUCG